GGUCGCGUGGCCGAGUGGCUAGGUAGAGGUCUGCAAAACCUUGUACGGCGGUUCGAAUCCGCCCGCGACCUCCA
rnacentral:tRNA from 1 species